GUUCCUUCCGACACAUUUUUGUUUUGGUAAUGUAAUACAUUGUGAUUGACCUUAUUCACGGGAAUCGGGCGUUUCCAGUGAUAUACGACACAAAUGGGUUGUCCUCAUGCAUUCACUUUCGAAACGCAUUUUAAAAUAGAUGUUACGUCCUGUUAAUGGGGCACGUCAUCAUCGCGUACAUUUGGGAAAAACUCCCUAACGAGACCGGAGCAGACGGCUGAAAGUAGUUUAAUUAUUGGCCGCUAGGGUACAGAAUGUACGUCGCUCACCCGAAUUUUUCACGCAACUAUAGCUAAAUAGAGCUAGUUCUAGUUUGUGAUUCAAUUUGAUACUUCAGAUUUGGGCAGUAGACCAAUAUAACUUAGUCGUCAGUGUGGUUUUAAGCUGGAAAAACGUAUUUGUUUUUCUUAAAGUGCCUUUUUUGGACGGGUGUGUGCGAUUGUUUUGUUUUUAUGUCACGUGACCUCGAUCAUGUCGACACAAAAUUGAAAUAAACCACCCUUUUCUGUCAUUAUUUAGGACGGAUAUUUCUCUGAUAAAAAUAUUAAUAUAAUUGGCCAAUUUCUUAGGCAUAUGAUGUAGCGAAUUCCCAUGAAGAUUUAAAUUAAUUUCAACCAAUGGGAUAGCAACCACCACCGGAAGAUCGCGGAGAAAUCGGCUGCACCAGCAAGUAGGCCUGAGGCAACUUCUCAACCUGUGAACAAUAGGAAGUCAGUCAAAGCUAAGAAAAGAAAAGCCAGCAAGGGAAAAGCAAGCAAGGCGAAGGGAGACUAUUGCGCAGCUGAGAGAAUAGACAACUACGACCCCAAAAACAACACGUAUUACAUAAAGUGGCAAGGAUAUGAUGCGUCCCACAACUCAUGGGUAAAAGCGGAAGACGUAACUUCUCCUCUCAUCUCUUCUUACAAAGAAAAAUUAGGUUUCGGAACGCACAAGAAGUGAUGCACCUCAUGUCUUUCGAUUGUUGAAAAAAUUGAUGUGAAUUUGUGCAAAUCCUCCCGCCUGUGUUUUUUUGUUCAGUGGAAUUCACGUAUUUCGGUAUUCCUUCUUCACCUCCACGCAUUAUUCAUUCUGACAUAAACUCACAUGAUCACUUUUGAUGAAAGAUUACAUAAUGGAUAAUAUUGAAUUCGCACAAAUAUAGUACAAUGUAAACUUAUCAUAUCUUUCAAAGGUCUCAUUAAAAGUAAAUGUAAGUUACAUGUACAUAUACUGUGGAAUUAUUGUUUUUUCAGACAAUCUGUGGCUGUUG